rnacentral:misc_RNA from 1 species
AAGAAGAACUUGAUUCAUCACUCUACCAUGAGUCCUGUAAGGAUAUGGGCGUAUAAUGGAGCCAUCCUUGCCACUGAGAACAUAAAUAUUCCCUGAAACUGUUGGAACAACGAUAUCGGUAUGGCCAUCCCCAUCCACAUCACCAACGGCAGGUCCCUGAGGAACAAGGCUUUUAAGAUGGUUUUCCCAAAUUUCUUUGCCCUGUGCAGUCCAUGCAGCAACAUUCCCAUGUGAAUCUGUAGUAACUAGUUCAAUCUUGCCAUCGUCAUUUAUAUCAGCUGCAAUUACUGCUCCUUGGAUGUCAGCCAUUUCAAGAGGAAACUUAUCCCUCACUUUCCCCUUGUGAUCCAAGACAUAAAACAAUCCAUAAGAGGUCCCAACUAGAAUGUCCAAAUUUCCAUCACCAUCCAAAUCAACUACCGUAGGGGAAGAGUGGAUGUAGGGACGGAAGUUCCCUGAGUCAGUACUUAGGUCCAGUUGUUGAGUCCAUUUAACUUGCUUGGUAUCUAGAUUAAAAACAACAAUACCACCAGAUACAUAUUUUCCAAUCUCAAUGUCUCCAAGCUCCUUCGAAUGCUCCGAAUUUUGGUAGUACUCAUGGUCAAAGAAAUAGGAAACUGCAACAAUCAUCUCUGACACCCCAUCAUUG